CAGAGGCAGAUACCCAGCUCGGGGCAGAUCCACAGAUUCCCGCCCUUCAUUUUCUUCCCGUGGACCAGAAAACAUGCUGAGCCCCAGUGCUGAAGGACAAACCACAAUGAAGCCAGGCAACUUUCCUCUGAGAAAAUAAUCCAACAAAGGACCAAAAUCACAACCCACCACCUGUGAAAAACAUCUUCCAAACUCUCCAAAGAUCUUUAGAAUCCUAAAUUGCUCUUGGAAGGAUGCUGUACUCAAGAGCUAGCCCUGGAGGGCGCAAAGAAAUCCUGUUCCUGCCCUUGGACGUGCAGUCAGUAGCACACUAUUGAAAUCGGGGAAAUGGAGAGAUGAUGGUGGUGGUGAUGAUGAUGAUGAUGGCGAUAAUGGAGCAUCUGCUUUAAUGCU